rnacentral:rRNA from 1 species
UGGGGAAUUUUCCGCAAUGGGCGGAAAGCCUGACGGAGCAAUGCCGCGUGGAGGUGGAAGGCCUACGGGUCGUCAACUUCUUUUCUCGGAGAAGAAACAAUGACGGUAUCUGAGGAAUAAGCAUCGGCUAACUCUGUGCCAG